rnacentral:rRNA from 1 species
UACAGAGACUGCGAGCGUUAUUCGGAUUCACUGGGCGUAAAGGGUGCGCAGGCGGCCGUGUGUGUGAGGCGUGAAAGCCUGGAGCUUAACUCCAGAAUUGCACCUCAAACUACAUGGCUAGAGCAUUGGAGAGGGUAGCGGAAUUCACGGUGUAGCAGUGAAAUGCGUAGAUAUCGGGAGGAACAUCAGUGGCGAAGGCGGCUGUCUGGCCCAAUACUGACACUCAGGUGCGACAGCGUGGGGAGCAAACAGG